ACGAAUUCUCCUGCCUCAGCCUCCUGAGUAGCUGGGAUUACAGGCAACAACUGGAAACAACCCAAGUGUCCGUCAGCUAGAGAAUGGAUAGACCCAUGUGGUCUGUGCAUACAGUGGAGUGCUGCUCAGUUAUACAAAGAAAAGAAACUGGAUACAGGCCACAGGAGGGAUGAACUUCAAAACAUUACAGCCCCCCUGAGGACCACCUGAGUUUAAAAUCUCUACCACCAAGUGAGGAAGACAAUGGUGAUGCCCAGGUUAGACUCCCUUUCUUUGCAUUCUAAGGAAAUGCUGCUUUCCUGAUGUGAGAAACAAACUCACCCAUUGAAACCCAAAGAAUGGACUCAGAUGCCUGCAGAACAGAGAAAGUGAGAAUUUUAAUGAUCAUCUUGCAAGAGAUAGAAAUAUAUAUAUAUUUAUUUAUGGUUGUCUUACUGCAUUUUGUGGAAGCCCACAAUGCAUUGCCAUCCUAGUCAGCUUAGGAGCUUUUCAAGUAUUUGACUUAUGACCUAAGUAGUUGGGCAGGCUGAGAAGAACAGAUGAAGCAAGCUAUUUUGAGGGCUAGUAAACUUUCAACUUAGACUAUACUUCUUUGUUAAAGUGAGGACAACUAAGCGGGGUGGAAGGGGAACCCAACAAGCCGGCAUUGCCCAUCCAACCACGAGCUUAGUAUUUCUUCUGUCCUUUGCUGAGCUAAACAACUUCAAGGCACUUUGUCUUAAAAAUGGACCACUGUAUACACUAUUUCCUUCACCUGAUUUCUUUCCCUCUCAAUUAAUUUUGGUAUAAGGAUAUGAUGGGACACAUUAUGUGCAACAUACACAAUAGUCCUUCUUGGGGUGGAGUUCACUGGGAAUGUCUUCCCAUCUAAUACAUGACAUGGUGGGAUGUUUUUGAAUGACAGCAUCCAUCAUCAACUGUAAUGCAGAGGCAUUUUCCUCCACACAAGUUUUCCUCUUCGAAUUAGGCAUUGUGAGUUUACCAAUCUAAAUCAACUUCAAAGAAAUUCUGUGAGAAAAGCUCUUGUCUUUUCCAUGCAUGUCCUCUAUGCUAGAGUGCUUUGUCUUUGACAUGGACUCAACCACUGUUUCAAAAGUAGUUUUCUGAAGUCAUCAACAGACGAACGGAUCUGUGUAAGGGGGCAACAGAACUGAUCUGAUCCUCAUAGCAUCUUCUUUUGUCUCACUGCAGAUUUUACCAUCACCUGUCCUGGGUACGUAUCUUGAACUAACUCAUUUUCUGAGAAACAAAUUUGCUGGCUUGAAUAUAUAGAAACCUUAAUCUGGAUUCCUGUUAAAAAAUGUUGGGGGUCUGUUGAGAGCAAAUGAUUAUGCAAGUGUAUAAGUAUGACCAGAGGGGCUGUAGAAAUGUGUGUGAACCCAGAGGACCAACCAGGAGAUUUUGUGUGAGCCAGUGAGUCUUCACUGGGAUUAGGAGAAGUGAGUGCACCUCUCACUGACUUAUCCUGAUGUUGGUGGUUUUAAAGAGUGGAUUCUGGAGAAUCUCAGCAGGGAAGAGGAUGCCUUUCCAGGUAGGCAACAAGACUUCAGAUGGGGUCUAAUAAAACAGCAUUUCCAAGAACCUUCAUAUUAUACCUGCUGCUUGGGAGGCUUAAGGAGGGUAUAGAAAGAGAAAAAGAAAAAGUAAAUAUAAGCCGCAUUUGUUAUUUUCAGACUUUAAUGUCAUCAUGGUGAGGAGUACUAUGUUCAUGGGCUUUUGAGUAUCCUGUAUUUUCAAUCACCUGUUCUUGGUUUAUUAUUUAAAGAUGACUUUUCGGAGAAUACCUGCUCUUUUCUGCCUGUGCCACUGCAAAUUGUCACAGCCUUUGGUUUGGGACAUAGUUCUGUCACAGGCAGUUACUUAAUCCUGAAUAUAAAACUCUUCUGCGGUGUGCCCAGAUGCAUAGGAGAGAUUGAUCCACACCUUAUGAACUUAGGUUUCAUGGCAGGACAUUCAUUUGUCUAUCCUUGCUGUUUACCUCUGGUAUCAAGACAUCUCCCUGGGCAUGGAGGACAGAAUGAAAAUUCACUGUGGGCUCACUGAAAAGCUCCAGUGUCUUAGAAAUGGAGGGAGAAACACAGCCUUGAGUACACUGUCAGAAUUCCAUUUCUUCAUGUGAAUGAGAAUAUGCAGUUUUACCAUCAUUUGUGGAAGUCGUUUUCCUUUCCCCAUUGUGUAUUCUUGGCACCUUUGUUGAAGAUCAGCUGACUCUGUAUGUAUGCAUUUAAUUCUGUGCUCUCGAUUCUAUAUCUGUGAUACUUAUGGGUGCCUCCCACAGUAGAAGCAUGCUGUCUGAAUUUUUCUGUUUAUUUUUAUUUUUAUUUUUAGAUUUCAAUCUCAUGAAUGUGCAUCUUCCAACACUAUUCUUUUUCAAUGUUGCCAUGGCUAUUUAAGGCCUUUUGAAUCCUAAUCCAUGGCUAAUUGAAUCCUAAUCUUAGGAUUAUCUUUUCCAUUUCUGCACAGAUGGCUGUUGCCAGUUUGGUAGCAGUUGUUGUUAGUCUAUAGAUCAUGUGUGUAGUAUUGUGUGUUAGUCAGGUUUAGUCUUCCUUUCCAUGAAUAUGGGAAGCCUUCCAACUUACUUGUACGUUCCUUACUUUCUAGAAUCUUUAUGUUGACAGCUGAUUAUUUAGAUUUAAUGUGACUGAUAUGAAUUUGUGAUUUCUUUUUUUGUUUUUUUGUUUUUGAGACAGAGUCUCACUCUGUCACCAUACAGGUGUGCA